rnacentral:rRNA from 1 species
AGCGAACGCUGGCGGCAGGCCUAACACAUGCAAGUCGAACGAACCCUUCGGGGUUAGUGGCGGACGGGUGAGUAACACGUGGGAACGUGCCUUUAGGUUCGGAAUAACUCAGGGAAACUUGUGCUAAUACCGAAUGUGCCCUUCGGGGGAAAGAUUUAUCGCCUUUAGAGCGGCCCGCGUCUGAUUAGCUAGUUGGUGAGGUAAAGGCUCACCAAGGCUACGAUCAGUAGCUGGUCUGAGAGGAUGACCAGCCACAUUGGGACUGAGACACGGCCCAAUCUCCUGCGGGAGGCAGCAGUGGGGAAUCUUGCGCAAUGGGCGAAAGCCUGACGCAGCCAUGCCGCGUGGAUGAUGAAGGUCUUAGGAUUGUAAAAUCCUUUCACCGGUGAAGAUAAUGACUGUAGCCGGAGAAGAAGCCCCGGCUAACUUCGUGCCAGCCGCCGCGGUAAAAC